rnacentral:rRNA from 1 species
UACAGAGGGGGCAAGCGUUGUUCGGAAUUACUGGGCGUAAAGGGCGCGUAGGCGGCCCGCUAAGUCGAACGUGAAAUCCCCGGGCUCAACCCGGGAACUGCGUCCGAUACUGGUGGGCUUGAAUCCGGGAGAGGGAUGCGGAAUUCCAGGUGUAGCGGUGAAAUGCGUAGAUAUCUGGAGGAACACCGGUGGCGAAGGCGGGUCA